GACGAACGCUGGCGGCGUGCUUAACACAUGCAAGUCGAACGGUAAGGCCCUUCGGGGUACACGAGUGGCGAACGGGUGAGUAACACGUGGGUGAUCUGCCCUGCACUUCGGGAUAAGCCUGGGAAACUGGGUCUAAUACCGGAUAGGACCACUGCCUGCAUGGGUGGUGGUGGAAAGCUUUUGCGGUGUGGGAUGGGCCCGCGGCCUAUCAGCUGGUUGGUGGGGUGAUGGCCUACCAAGGCGACGACGGGUAGCCGGCCUGAGAGGGUGACCGGCCACACUGGGACUGAGAGACGGCCCAGACUCCUACGGGAGGCAGCAGUGGGGAAUAUUGCACAAUGGGCGCAAGCCUGAUGCAGCGACGCCGCGUGAGGGAUGACGGCCUUCGGGUUGUAAACCUCUUUCAGCACCGACGAAGCGCAAGUGACGGUAGGUGCAGAAGAAGGACCGGCCAACUACGUGCCAGCAGCCGCCGUAA
rnacentral:rRNA from 1 species